GCCUAGUUAGCUUAGUUGGUAGUGCGUCUGCCUUGUAAGCGCUAGGUCGUGGGUUCGAUUCCCGCCCGGGGCG
rfam:Asian citrus Psyllid, Diaphorina citri - Florida Strain, whole genome shotgun sequence.